GACAGAGGAGCCAAGCGUUGUCCGGAAUGAUUGGGCGUAAAGCGUCUGUAGGUGGUUUAUUAAGUCUACUGUUAAAGAUCAGGGCUUAACCCUGAAUAGGCAGUAGAAACUAAUAAGCUUGAGUACGGUAGGGGCAGAGGGAAUUCCCGGUGUAGCGGUGAAAUGCGUAGAUAUGCGGAGGAACACCGAUGGCGAAGGCAAUCCCCUGGGCCUGCACUGACGCUCAUGCACGAAAGCGUGGGGAGCAAACAGG
rnacentral:rRNA from 1 species